AGCUCAGUUGGUAGAGCAUGGGGCUCUUAAUCCCUGGGUCGUGGGUUUGUGCCCCAU
rnacentral:tRNA from 1 species